rnacentral:rRNA from 1 species
UACGGGGGGAGCAAGCGUUGUUCGGAUUUACUGGGCGUAAAGGGCGCGUAGGCGGCCACGACAAGUCAGUUGUGAAAUCUCUGGGCUUAACUCAGAACGGUCAACUGAUACUGUCGGGCUAGAGUGCAGAAGGGGCAACUGGAAUUCUCGGUGUAGCGGUGAAAUGCGUAGAUAUCAGGAGGAACACCGGUGGCGAAGGCGGGUCUCUGGGCCGAUAUUGACGCUGAGGAGCGAAAGCGUGGGGAGCGAACAGG